CCUUCCUUCUCNUUAGUCGACACUAAGGGGGCCCCUCACAGUAAUUAGCAGGAGUGGGAGUUCUGGCUGCCUACAGACCUUCUUCCUCUUACACCUCUCUGGUCGGUUGCCGCCUAGAGCGGGAGACCUCACGAAGCAUGGGCCGAAUACCCAGUCCUCACCAGCAGAGAGUAGUGGGCAGGAAUCGGGAUUUCGGGCCCUGCCGCUGACCCUCCGUGUGACCACGGUGUGCAUUUCCCAGACAUUUCCUGAGUGGCGUUCUCUGACAGCCACGGAGCCAAAUACAGAGGACAUAAAGGAGAUGGGGACAUAGUCCUUGCCCUCGUGAGCCUUGGCACUCACCGCACGAACUCCUGGAAUCUGGAGAGAGAGCUGGAGAGCACAAGCAGGGGGCGUGGCAGAGGGAGAGGGAGAAGCAGGCUCCAUGCUGAGCAGGGAGCCUGAUGUGGGGCUCGAUCCCAGGACCCUGAGAUCACGGCCUGAGCCAGCAUUUCUCCUGGCCCCAAACAGAAGCUC
rnacentral:lncRNA from 1 species